UUGAAGCGCCCAACCACUACUCACUGAGAAGAAUGUCAGAGGCGACGAUCGCUGAUCAGAGUUAUCUCUUUCUCAAUCGGAUUCAUGAUCGAAGGUUCGAUGAAGAGUCUCUUCGGAUUCUCGAGCUGUCUCUGGUUGCAACGAACGCGAAAUCGUUUUCCGAUCUUCGAUCCCGACUGGGAGAUUUCAUGAGAUCUGAAUCGUCUGUCAUAUUCAGCGAGCUCGCUGGAGAAUCCGUCGUUGCGAAGCUCUCAGUACUCGAAUUCUUCGCUCGUGCUUUCGCUCUUAUCGGCGAUACGGAGAGCUGUUUAGCUAUGAAGUAUGAGGCAUUGACUUUGCGGGAGAUCAAGUCCACAAGCUGUUUGUGGUUAAGAGUUUCACAUUCGGAGUGGACCAGCUUUGCAGUCCAGUCUAUGGAGCAUGGAUUCCCUUCUAUUGCUAGAAAGGCCUCCGAAAAUGCGCUGCUGGGCCUUAAGAGGGAUAGUCUGAUUGAACCAACAUCAGAGGAGUAUUCUGAAACUUUGGAUGCUGCUGAGAGUGUAAGGAGACUAAGGGAUUCAGCUGCGUCGUUGACAUCUUCACACUCAGUUCAGGCACAAGGUGCAGAGUACUUGAGGAGCAAGGAACUCAGGAUACUAAGCAGGCAAAUAAGACCCAUGAAAAAUCUAGAUUCCACAGGUAGCAAUUUGUUCAGAGAAGGAAUCAAUAAGCGAAAUGAAAGGAUGUUACAGCAUCUACGUAGCACUCAGAUGAUUCGAGACUUGGAACCACACUCUCGCUGUAUUUGAUGCAACUGGUGCUACAAACCUCAAUGUUCGUUUGAUACUUCAUCAUGACCAUUCAAAUACAGUGAACUCCAAAGGAGCAGUAAGAGAGGUCCCAUUCCAAGCUGGACUCGAAGCCAAUCAGCUUGGUAUUAUCCCGUCACUUUUGGGAUAAG